rnacentral:rRNA from 1 species
GAAACCCGGUGAUCUAGCCAUGGGCAGGUUGAAGGUUGGGUAACACUAACUGGAGGACCGAACCGACUAAUGUUGAAAAAUUAGCGGAUGACUUGUGGCUGGGGGUGAAAGGCCAAUCAAACCGGGAGAUAGCUGGUUCUCCCCGAAAGCUAUUUAGGUAGCGCCUCGUGAACUCAUCUUCGGGGGUAGAGCACUGUUUCGGCUAGGGGGUCAUCCCGACUUACCAACCCGAUGCAAACUACGAAUACCGAAGAAUGUUAUCACGGGAGACACACGGCGGGUGCUAACGUCCGUCGUGAAGAGGGAAACAACCCAGACCGCCAGCUAAGGUCCCAAAGUCAUGGUUAAGUGGGAAACGAUGUGGGAAGGCACAGACAGCCAGGAUGUUGGCUUAGAAGCAGCCAUCAUUUAAAGAAAGCGUAAUAGCUCACUGGUCGAGUCGGCCUGCGCGGAAGAUGUAACGGGGCUAAACCAUGCACCGAAGCUGCGGCAGCGACACUAUGUGUUGUUGGGUAGGGGAGCGUUCUGUAAGCCUGCGAAGGUGUGCUGUGAGGCAUGCUGGAGGUAUCAGAAGUGCGAAUGCUGACAUAAGUAACGAUAAAGCGGGUGAAAAGCCCGCUCGCCGGAAGACCAAGGGUUCCUGUCCAACGUUAAUCGGGGCAGGGUGAGUCGACCCCUAAGGCGAGGCCGAAAGGCGUAGUCGAUGGGAAACAGGUUAAUAUUCCUGUACUUGGUGUUACUGCGAAGGGGGGACGGAGAAGGCUAUGUUAGCCGGGCGACGGUUGUCCCGGUUUAAGCAUGUAGGCUGGUUGUCCAGGCAAAUCCGGAUAAUCAAGGCUGAGGUGUGAUGACGAGGCACUACGGUGCUGAAGUAACAAAUGCCCUGCUUCCAGGAAAAGCCUCUAAGCAUCAGGUAACAUUAAAUCGUACCCCAAACCGACACAGGUGGUCAGGUAGAGAAUACCAAGGCGCUUGAGAGAACUCGGGUGAAGGAACUAGGCAAAAUGGUGCCGUAACUUCGGGAGAAGGCACGCUGGUGUGUAGGUGAAGCCCCUGCGGGUGGAGCUGAGACCAGUCGAAGAUACCAGCUGGCUGCAACUGUUUAUUAAAAACACAGCACUGUGCAAACACGAAAGUGGACGUAUACGGUGUGACGCCUGCCCGGUGCCGGAAGGUUAAUUGAUGGGGUUAUCCGUAAGGAGAAGCUCUUGAUCGAAGCCCCGGUAAACGGCGGCCGUAACUAUAACGGUCCUAAGGUAGCGAAAUUCCUUGUCGGGUAAGUUCCGACC